ACGAAAUAAGAGGAAUAGCAUACAUUAUUGUUGUUGCGGUGUGUCACGUGACAAUCAUGACCCGUCGCCAUGGACACAAGGGGUCGGAUAUUUAAAGUUAAAUAUUUUUAACUUCCGCGUGAAAUGGUUAGUUUUAAAAAUAUAUAUAUUCUAAGUAAACAACAACAGCCCAAGUUUAGUAAACAUUUUUUUAUUGAAACUAUAAAUAAAUAUUCUGCAUCCAUUAGGUGUGCCACUGUGGGUGGCUCCCGCACACCCGUGGCUACGCCCCUUCCGUGACCCAAAUCUCGUUCGCACAUCAUCGCGAUGUUUAUCAUCAAUUUACAAACCUCGCCCGUCGCCACAUCUUUUUUCUUCACAUACAUCUCAUACUCCUCCAUCUACACUCUUCACAACAUUUAAACCAACGGCUCUUUUAACAGCCAUCACUUGCAAAAGCUCUCCUAAAGCAGCUGAUGGCGAUUUACUUCUAAUCACAGAACCGGCUUUACUGAUGAAACACGCAUGAGAAUCGCAGACGAUUUUUUUGCACAGUGAGUGAGUUUCGACCAGUUAUGUCAGGAAGCUGCAACUAUUUCAAAGCAUCUUGAAAUGAAAGCUGACAAUGCUGAACUUGAAGCAGCUACCAGAGAGGCUGAAGAAAUUCUACAAAUGUUCAAUCCUCCACUGCUGAAAAAGAAGACCGAACAAGCGAUUUCCUGGACUCGACAGACACAGUGAACUUUGCACUGCAUUUCAAAGCCAGCUUCUCAGCCGCAACACCGAGAACCAGAGUUGAGGUCAAUGUACUGCUGAGAAAAGUGCAAGAUCUGUUUAACCAAAAAUAUAAGGAUGCCAGAGGUACUGGAAGGCUCCCCUGGUAAAUCAAGGCAUGACAGUUAAAGUUGCAGGACUGCCCAACAGCCUCAAAAAACCAUCCUAUUAUGGAAGGAAGCAGUUGGAGGCCAUUUUGCAAGCUGCUGAGGAGAUUUCAUUUGAAAUCAAUGCAGCACAAUGCAACUCCACUGACAAAGCAGAAGGAAUGUUAGAGGCGAUGGACGCAGAAGGUAC